rnacentral:rRNA from 1 species
ACGGAAGGCAGCAGUGGGGAAUAUUGCGCAAUGGGGGAAACCCUGAUGCAGCGACGCCGCGUGAGUGAAGAAGUAUUUCGGUAUGUAAAGCUCUAUCAGCAGGAAAGAAAAUGACGGUACCUGACUAAGAAGCCCCGGCUAACUACGUGCCAGCAGCCGCGGUAAUACGUAGGGGGCAAGCGUUAUCCGGAUUUACUGGGUGUAAAGGGAGCGUAGACGGCUUUGCAAGUCUGAAGUGAAAGCCCGGGGCUCAACCCCGGAACUGCUUUGGAAACUGUAGAGCUAGAGUGCAGGAGAGGUAAGUGGAAUUCCUAGUGUAGCGGUGAAAUGCGUAGAUAUUAGGAGGAACACCAGUGGCGAAGGCGGCUUACUGGACUGUAACUGACGUUGAGGCUCGAAGGCGUGGGGAGCAAACAGGAUUAGAUACCCUGGUA